GAAAUGCGAUAAGUAGUGUGAAUUGCAGAAUUCAGUGAAUCAUCGAAUCUUUGAACGCACAUUGCGCCCGCCAGUAUUCUGGCGGGCAUGCCUGUUCGAGCGUCAUUACAACCCUCAGGCCCCCGGGCCUGGCGUUGGGGAUCGGCGGAAGCCCCCUGCGGGCACAACGCCGUCCCCCAAAUACAGUGGCGGUCCCGCCGCAGCUUCCAUUGCGUAGUAGCUAACACCUCGCAACUGGAGAGCGGCGCGGCCACGCCGUAAAACACACAACUUCUGAAUGUUGACCUCGAAUCAGGUAGGAAUACCCGCUGAACUUAAGC
rnacentral:misc_RNA from 1 species